rnacentral:rRNA from 1 species
UAAGUCUAAACGACUCUCGGCAACGGAUAUCUCGGCUCUCGCAUCGAUGAAGAACGUAGCGAAAUGCGAUACUUGGUGUGAAUUGCAGAAUCCCGUGAACCAUCGAGUCUUUGAACGCAAGUUGCGCCCGAAGCCUCGGCUGAGGGCACGUCUGCCUGGGUG